rnacentral:lncRNA from 1 species
UUAUACGUGCAAAACAAUGAUUUCCUUUGCGCAUCUGUCAUCGUUCCUGUUAAAUGUAGAAAUCUUAAAUUUUGUAUGGGCAAAAAUAUAUAGAACUUUUAUGAAAUAUAAAAUUUAUUUAUCAACAAAAAUCUGCUUAAUAAACUUUGUUUAACGCAUUAUAAACAAAAAGACACAGAGAUUUUUUUAAGAAUGUUAACUUUUUAUUUUGGGAAAAUAUUUUUAAGAAUGGUGUACAUAUUAAUAAAAGUACAUAUAAAAUUUUGAUGUUUUAAGAAAAAUUACUGUAUAUAUUGAAAAGCACAACAUAUUAACUAUAAAAUAUAAAAAUCUAAUUCAAAAUAUUUCAUAAAUUUACAUAAGAACUAACGUUCAUUCAUAUUAUGAAAAAUGGUUGUUAACAUAUUUGGGAGUGAAAGGAAAAUGUAGAGAAAUAGAUGAUAAAAAAAAUGAAGAUAUCUAAAAUUGUUUUAUGAUGGUAUUUCUUUAUAAAGACUUUACAUUUAAAAACUAAAAAUGGACUAAAAUAAAAAAUAACUCUUGAAAUACUUUAGGGACGAUUCUUUUAGGUUUAACACAAAAUAUAUUUGACUAUGUUUUCUAUAUUUUCCAGCCAUCUAGGUAUUUACAUUUUUACACAAAUAUAUAAUUUUAUACUAUAUUUUAUAUAGUAAACAAAAAUGAUUAUAUGGGGUUUACAAUAUAUUAAACAUAAAUAUUUAAGGAUAUAAGUAUUACAAUUUAUUAUAGAAGGAAUAAAUGCAAUAUAUUAAUAUGUAAAUACAAACCUAAUGAGAGAAUGAUAAACAUAGUUAAGAAGGUGAACAAGAGUUGAAAGGAUUUCCUCAUUUUGGAUUACAGAAAUCGAAUGAUACUUAGUCAAAAAUUUAGGGGAAAAUGAAGUAUUCUAUUUUUCACAACUGAAGAAGGAGAAGUAUUCUUACAUAUAUAUAUAUAAAAUUUAUCUUCAUUAAAGAGACAUUUUCACAAAUAUCUUCUUUAUUAAAAAAACAAAAGACCAUUAUACCAUUGCUUUAUAGAUACACAAUUAAUAUAAAUCAUUAUUUAAUAAAAUAUUUUUUUUUUAAUUUUUGAAUUGUUGGUUUUCAGACCCGAACUUUUUUAUAAUUUUUUUCGAAUUCAUUUAAAAAAAAAAUAUUAUUUGAAAUUCGAAAACUAUUUUUGAAACUAUUUUAAAAUUUUAUUUUAAAUUCUUAGUAUUUACUUUUUUAUCUUUUAAAAUUCUAAACCCCAAACUCCAAAACCCAACUUCUCAAAUCAAAUCUAAACUUUAAGUCUAGAUUAGUUAACACUAGGGACAUAAAUAUCCAUUUACCCCAUUAAAACUAAGGAUAAAUAUGGUUAAGAUAAACAUGAAAAGUGGUACUAAGAAAGUGGUAGUUUAGGCAAUUUUUCUUUAUAAAAAUUAUACAAUUUGUAUGGUCAUUUCAUAGAUAUGUAUAAUAUUUAGAGUUGUAUGUAUAAUUUAAGAUUUAAUAUAUGUUUAUAUAUGAAAUAAAAAAUACCUAUUGUUUUAUGAUAAUAUAUUAGAUUAAUAUUAACAGAUAUAUGGAAAAUUACCAAAAUAUCACAUUUAUAGUACCAUUUUUCACGUUUACACUAAACACUUUUGCCCUCACUUUUAAUGAGGGAUAAAAGAUAUUUAUAACCCUUGGAUUAACUAAUCUAGACUUAGGAUUUCAAGUUGAAGGGUAGUGUAUGAUUUUUGGAAUGUGAAAUUUAGGAUUCUAAUAAAUUUAUAAAUAAAUAUUUAAAAAUAUAAAAUAUAAUUUUUUUUAAAUAGUUUCAAAAGUAAUUUUUGAUUUUCAAAAAGAAGUUUUGAAGAAAAAAAUUUUGAAAAAAAAAAAUUUUGAAAUUUGUUUUUCAGAAAUUGUUUUAUAAAAAGUUCGAAUUUGAAAAAGUAUAUUCGAAAGCAUAAAUUUUUUUUUUUUAUAUUUCUUUAUUUUCUUUUUUAUUUAUUUAAGAAAUUAUUUAUUAUAUAUAUAGAGAACAAGGGUAUAGAGUUUUUUGCCACUUAAUGAAGAAGAUAUUUUUGAAAAUGUCUCUUUAGUGGUAAACAUUAAUAAUAAUACCAAAAAAGUGGUAAACAUGAUAAUUCACUCAGAUAUAUUGGCAUUGCAUUUGCACAUAAUUAGAGUUAUAUGCUACCAAAAUUUAUAAAACUCCAUUAAGUUGAAGACCAUUGAAGAUAUUAUAAACUUGUUUAUAUAUUUGAAUUAGUGAUUUUCCCACAUUUCGCGCGGAGUUUUGUAUAGUUCGCUUUUCCAAAUAUAUAUAUAUAUAUAUGGUUUUGCAGUGUAUGUGUGUAUUUUGCAUGUGCAUAUAUAUAUGGUUUGAAGAGUAGAAAAUGUGUUUUGUGAUGGCUGACUUGGAGAUAGAGCAGUUUAUAGCAAUUGGGUGACUGAGUUUUGUUGUUGGUUUUUGCCAUGUGUGUGGCGACAUCUUUGUCAUCUUUUUUGUUUUUUAGCUAAAUUGUAAGAUGAUGUUCGUUUACGUGUUGCGAGACCUGCGACCUGCGACAUGCGACCUGCGACUGAUCGUAGGUCGCAGGUUAUUGUUCGUGAUGUCGCGUAACAUGCGACCUGCGAUUGGUCGCAUGUCGCAAGUCGCAGGUUGUUGUUCGUUUUGAUGUCGCGCGACUGAUCGCGCGACCAGUCGUGGGUUCUCAUUCAAGUCGCCCGAAAAAACAGCGACUAAAAAUUAAGAAAAUUUUGAUCGUGCGACUGGUCGCAGAUCGAAGGUCGCGCGACACCUAAACGAACAUAGUUUUAGUCGCAGGUCGCAAGUUUAGUCGCAAGUCGCAGGUCGCGCGACACGUAAACGAACGUAAUCUUAGUCGCAAGUCACAGGUCGCGCGACACGUAAACGAACAUGGCCUAAAUGUCAUUCAAUGAAUGUAGAAUUACAAUAUGAAUUGAACCAGAAUUUUCUUUGAAAGCUAUUAUGUUCUUAGAAACCGCAAAAAGUUUUUAAAAAGUUCAUAAGAAGAACUAGAUAUUAAGUCCAAAGCAGCCAUGAGUGGUGAAUUUGGAGUUAAUAUACAAAAAUAAUGCAACAUUCAACAUAAGACCCCAAUUCAUAGCACUUCUUGACUCCUAGUAAAACCCAUGAAAGCAAGAGUAAAGCUAAGGAAGCUCACACGAACACACACCCGAAAAUGGCUCCAAACGACUUCGACGGAAGCGACAUGCAACGGCUCCGAAACACCAGAGGAGGUGGACGCCGAGCAAUCAAACCAAAACUUUCUCGACAUAAGACAGACUUAGCAGACCCGACGUGACGCCACAGGCAAUGAAGAACAGAACAGGUUAAGCCGAAGCGGUACAUUGACUCCUCAUCCGGCCAUGCGACACAAACAUGCGACCAAGACAUCAAGGGAGAACACAGAUAGCUUCGUCGGAGCUACACGAGCGGGAAUGAAGCACAUAAGGAAUCAAAAAUCCUUGAAACAUGUGAGACAUCAGUAGAACGACGACUCUGUUCUUUGCAACAAAUACCAAAACACGGAAGGCCUUCCUCAAGACCGUAGGAGCUCAUAUCAGGAAGCGAGAAGAAGAGCCUCGAGCAGACGCUGUUGAUACACCAUGGAUGUUGUCCAUUGAACUACGAAAAAGGUCCUCCGAGCGGUGAGCUUUCACACCGCCAAUAGUCCAAAACGGAGAGGAGAAGCUCAAAGAGACCUUGAGACGAGCUCGACGAAAUCGCAACAGGUACAAGCUAGGACCGAGAAAGGGAGGAGGAGGCAGUGGCGCUCAACUAUUCUUUCCGACGUAAAAAAGAUCAGAUCUGGAUCUGACCCAUAUCUUCUCCGAUUGAUAAGUAGAGGCUGAAACUAAAGCUCCUUAGACUCCCCGACAAAGCCACUUCUCGUUGAUGCUCCAGGAGAACCACACACACAUGAAGCUCCAGUUAGAUUCGCCUACAGCGAACGUCCAUAUCACCAAACAAGAAGGAGAGAGCUAAGAAGGGGAGGCUAAGGGAGAAGACUGGGUGGAACGAACAAACGGGGUGGCGAUCGGUGAUAGAAAAGCUCCCGGUCACCGGAGAUGUCAAAGAGUGCGGCAGAUCUAGGGUUUGAACAUGUUAGGGGAGAGACCAAAGAGA